ACCUUCUUGGUGUAAUGGUCAGCACACUCGGCGCGUAUUCGAGAGGUCCGUGGUUCGAAUCCCGGCGAGGGCA
rnacentral:tRNA from 1 species